UAGUCCACGCUGUAAACGAUGUCUACUUGGAGGUUGCGGUCUUGAACUGUGGCUUUCGUAGCUAACGCGUUAAGUAGACCGCCUGGGGAGUACGGUCGCAAGAUUAAAACUCAAAUGAAUUGACGGGGGCCCGCACAAGCGGUGGAGCAUGUGGUUUAAUUCGAUGCAACGCGAAGAACCUUACCUACUCUUGACAUCCAGAGAAUCCUGUAGAGAUAUGGGAGUGCCUUAGGGAGCUCUGAGACAGGUGCUGCAUGGCUGUCGUCAGCUCGUGUUGUGAAAUGUUGGGUUAAGUCCCGCAACGAGCGCAACCCUUAUCCUUGUUUGCCAGCACUUCGGGUGGGAACUUCAGGGAGACUGCCGGUGAUAAACCGGAGGAAGGUGGGGACGACGUCAAGUCAUCAUGGCCCUUACGAGUAGGGCUACACACGUGCUACAAUGGCGCAUACAGAGGGGUGCGAGCCAGCGAUGGUGAGCGAAUCUCAAAAGUGCGUCGUAGUCCGG
rnacentral:rRNA from 1 species